UUAAAACUCAAAUGAAUUGACGGGGGCCCGCACAAGCGGUGGAGCAUGUGGUUUAAUUCGAUGCAACGCGAAGAACCUUACCUGGUCUUGACAUCCACAGAACUUUCCAGAGAUGGAUUGGUGCCUUCGGGAACUGUGAGACAGGUGCUGCAUGGCUGUCGUCAGCUCGUGUUGUGAAAUGUUGGGUUAAGUCCCGCAACGAGCGCAACCCUUAUCCUUUGUUGCCAGCGGUCCGGCCGGGAACUCAAAGGAGACUGCCAGUGAUAAACUGGAGGAAGGUGGGGAUGACGUCAAGUCAUCAUGGCCCUUACGACCAGGGCUACACACGUGCUACAAUGGCGCAUACAAAGAGAAGCGACCUCGCGAGAGCAAGCGGACCUCAUAAAGUGCGUCGUAGUCCGGAUUGGAGUCUGCAACUCGACUCCAUGAAGUCGGAAUCGCUAGUAAUCGUGGAUCAGAAUGCCACGGUGAAUACGUUCCCGGGCCUUGUACACACCGCCCGUCACACCAUGGGAGUGGGUUGCAAAAGAAGUAGGUAGCUUAACCUUCGGGAGGGCGCUUACCACUUUGUGAUUCAUGACUGGGGUGAAGUCGUAACAAGGUAACCGUAGGGGAACCUGCGGUUGGAUCACCUCCUUACCUUAAAGAAGC
rnacentral:rRNA from 1 species